rnacentral:rRNA from 1 species
UGAGAGGAGGGGCCCGGAGAUGGGUACUGAGACACGGACCCAGGCCCUAUGGGCGCAGCAGGCGAGAAACCUUUGCAAUGUGCGAAAGCACGACAAGGUUAAUCCGAGUGUCUCCUGNUAAAGGAGUCUUUUGUCAGUUGUAGAAUCACUGGUGAAUAAGGGGUGGGCAAGUUCUGGUGUCAGCCGCCGCGGUAAAACCAGCACCUCGAGUGGUCAGGAGGUUUAUUGGGCCUAAAGCAUCCGUAGCCGGUUGCAUAAGUUUUCGGUUAAAUCUAUGCGCUUAACGUAUAGGCCGCCGAAAAUACUGUGCAGCUAGGGAGUGGGAGAGGUACACGGUACUCGAUAGGAAGGGGUAAAAUCCUUUGAUCUAUUGAAGACCACCUGUGGCGAAGGCGGUGUACCAGAACACGUUCGACGGUGAGGGAUGAAAGCUGGGGGAGCAAACCGGAUUAGAUACCCGGGUAGUCCCAGCUGUAAACGAUGCAGACUCGGUGAUGCAUUGGCUUGUGGCCAAUGCAGUGCCACAGGGAAGCCGUUAAGUCUGCCGCCUGGGAAGUACGUACGCAAGUAUGAAACUUAAAGGAAUUGGCGGGGGAGCACCACGAGGGGUGAAGCCUGCGGUUCAAUUGGAGUCAACGCCGG